CAGAGUUGCAAAACUCCCAACCAUUGUGAAUCUACCUCACCGUUGCUUCGGCGGGUGGCCCGGGGAACACCCAGGCCGCGCCGUCCCCGCUCGCGGGGGCCCGGCAAACCCGUCAGAGGACCGAAACUCUUCGUCAUCAUUGGCCUCUCUGAGUAACUUAUACAAUAAGUCA
rnacentral:misc_RNA from 1 species